rnacentral:lncRNA from 1 species
AAAAUUCAUCAAAAAUUUUCAUGGAAUCAUCAAAUCAUGCUACAAAGGAGUUCCAUGUAAAGUUUUAAGCAAGAGCCAACCUUCAAAACCACUUUUCCCUCCAUUCUUGGUGAACUGCCCCUCUCCCUUCAUUUUCCAAAACUUCCAUUAUCACUCCAAUUCAUGGGAAUUUACUUGUAAGCUUGUUUUUGGAGAUACCGAUGAAGGAAUAAACACUAGGUAAGCAUCAAAUUUUCCUUCCCCUUUUCAUUUCAUAUGGUGGCCGAACCACCCACUCAAUUUUCCCAUUUUCACACUUUGUUGGAAUUGUUCUAUUUUGUACUCUAGGAAUGAAAUUAUGUUGUGG